rnacentral:rRNA from 1 species
UACGUAGGGGGCAAGCGUUGUUCGGAUUCAUUGGGCGUAAAGGGUGCGUAGGCGGCGCGGUAAGUCGGGUGUGAAAUCUUGGAGCUUAACUCCGAAACUGCAUUCGAUACUGCCGUGCUUGAGGACUGGAGAGGAGACUGGAAUUUACGGUGUAGCGGUGAAAUGCGUAGAUAUCGUAAGGAAGACCAGUGGCGAAGGCGGGUCUCUGGGCCGAUACUGACGCUGAGGAGCGAAAGCGUGGGGAGCGAACAGG